GGACUACCGGGGUUUCUAAUCCUGUUUGCUCCCCUAGCUUUCGCAGCUCAGCGUCAGUAAUGAGCCAGGUGCCUGCUUUCGCCAUAGGUGUUCCUCCCGAUCUCUACGCAUUUCACCGCUACACCGGGAAUUCCAGCACCCUCUCUCACACUCAAGCCCGACAGUAUCUACUGACCUCUCCCAGUUAAGCCGGGAGAUUUCACAGUAGACUUACCGAGCCGCCUACCUGCCCUUUACGCCUAGUAAUUCCGAGUAACGCUUGCCACCUUCGUCUUACCGCGGCUGCUGGCAC
rnacentral:rRNA from 1 species